AAACUAACAUGAUAUUGUGAUUAUCCUUCAAUUAAAAAAAAAAAAAGCAACCAGGGAGCAACUGGACUGGAAGGAGUCUUGACAGAGGGCCAAGGCCAGCCCCAUAUGCCACCUUCUGCUUGGCUGAAGUCCCCUCCUCCGUCUGAUGAGCCAAUGUAGAAGAGAGGAAUCAAAAGAUAUCAUGGCUUGGCUUUGUUGGGGGGAUAGUGAACAUGGAUCAGGACAUGGAGUAACUUUAGGAGGCUGGCUCUCCCCAAGAGCUCUCCCACAAGGACAAGAUCUCCCAGCCUUGCCUUUCCCUGCCAGCUGAUGAGAGUUACUCCUCAUCCCAGGGAUGAAUAAGGUCAUCAACACAAAGAAAAGACCAACUCCUCCCUGCUCAGAUACGUCAUCAUUCAGCCAGGCAGUGACAGGACGAAAAGAGGGCAGAUUUCUUAGGGCUUGGGAGAAAAUGAAGCUCAGUGGAAUCAAAGUAAACAGUGGUCUGACAUGAACUGGUGUCAGCAGUGGCUCCCCACUCAGCUUGUGGCCGUCUCCCACAGCAUGUUUCCUGGGAGUGGGGAGUUCACCACAGUAUUUAUCCUGACAGAAGAAGCACAGACACAGUCUCUGCCUGCCUCAGGUCAGCCCAACAUUCAAAGCAACCACCCUUUGUGGACAUCUUUCUGCCUUCCCAGAACUUACCUCGGCUUAAAAAAAUCCCUUUCUGAAGAAGCAGGGCUUUCAGGACAGAGUCAUACACCAGGCAGUGACAACCUGAAUGGACUCCUGGUAGAAGGGCUGCUCUUGUCUCCUCCAGACCACUGACCCCAACCUCCUAGAAGCCACCCCAUGAUCCCUGAGUGGGGAAAGGGGAACUCAGAUCCAUAACCCUGCACUUAGACAUUCAAAAGAUGGCCAACGAGGAGAGAGAGAGGGCUGAGGGGGUCAACGGGGGCAAAUUCAGAACACUGAGAUUCUCAUUUAUUUUCACCAUUUUUUGAUUAGCAUCCUUUUUCCUUUUCUGAUUUCAAAGUAAUAAAUAAUGCUUAACCUCUUGGGAAGUUAAUUCUGGGGAAUUAGAAUCUGCAGUGGGAAGAGGAGUAAGACCACAGGGUGAGUAGGGAAGAGGCUGCUCCCUGUUCUCUCCCUAAGUCCUCUCCCCUAUGGCUCCCACCUCCCCAACACACACACACACACCCUCUCCCUCUCCGUGUUUCAUCCAGUAUAAAAAUAGCUGUCCAUGGUCUGUUAUUCAUCCCCAAGCGGCAGUGAAGAGUGGGC
ensembl:lncRNA